rnacentral:lncRNA from 1 species
CUCCUCCUCCUCCUCCUCCUCCUUCUCCUUCUUCUCUUCUUCUUCUUCUUGUUCUUCUUCUUCUUCUUCUUCUUUCUUUUCAUUUUGCCUAUUUCUUUCCUCUUCUCCUCUUGUUGGAGCUAAAUAACCUAGUUAUGUCUUUUUUGAGCUAAAUGGGCUAAUUAUCCCAUUUUAGAGGAAAACUAGCUAAGUAUAUAAUAUUAAUGAGCUAACCAAGGUUCUUAUGCCAUUUUGAGCUUAUUAAGGUAUUUUGGAGCUAAAUGGGCUAAUUAUGUCAUUGU